CCUACGGGAGGCAGCAGUGGGGAAUAUUGCGCAAUGGGCGAAAGCCUGACGCAGCGACGCCGCGUGAGGGAUGAAGGUCUUCUGAUCUUAAACCUCUGUCAACAUGGGAGAACAGUGACUUUGCUAAUCAGCAGUGAAUUUACCGUACCUACAAGGACAGCACCGGCUAACUCCGUUCCAGCAGCCGCGGUAAUACGGAGGGGUCGAGCGUUAAUCGGAAUUACUGGGCGUAAAGCGCUCGUAGGCGGUAUGUUAAGUCAAGGGUGAAAUCCCCGGGCUCACAGGGGGAAAUGCCGUUGAAACUGGGAAACUUGAGUGUGGGAGAGGAUAGUGGAAUUCCAGGUGUAGGAGUGAAAUCCGUAGAUAUCUGGAGGAACAUCAGUGGCGAAGGCGACUAUCUGGCACGUAACUGACGCUGAGGAGCGAAAGCGUGGGUAGCAAACAGGAUUAGAUACCCUAGUAGUC
rnacentral:rRNA from 1 species